rnacentral:tRNA from 1 species
GGUGGCUCAGUGGUAGAGCAUUUGCUUUGCAUGCCAGAAGCCCUGGGUUCGAUUCCUCAGCACCA